ensembl:lncRNA
ACCUUAGGGUGUGUGUGUGUGUGUGCGCGCCUAUUGCAAUGCAUUAGUCACCCUCUUCCCACCAGCAGAAAACCAAAAGGGCCUAAUAAAAAGUGUAGCUGCUUGUGUCGUAGCUAAUUAGAGACCCCAGAUUCAUUUGACUGCCUGGACCAGAGGUCGGCAAUUUAUUCCAUGGGCCAUCUGGCCUGGGGCCCAUUUUGUAAAUAAAAUAUUAUUGAACCUCUGUCACACUCAUUUGUUUACUAUUAUCUCUGGCUAUUUUUGUGCUCCUGUGGCUGAGUGGCUUGCCUGGAGGACCCUGCCCUUCUGCCUGACUGUAAAGCACCUUUGUUCAGCUCAGGGAGAUACUUUGGCCCUGCCCACCUGUGAAUAGAAGAGAUUAACACGCCCCUUGCAAAGGCUGGCCAUUCGCUUGGAGAUGUUCUGCAAGACUGAAGGCGCUUUCACUUUACUUCCCGACUGCCUCGCCCUCUCUAUUCUUCCUUUUGACUUUAGUUCCUCAUUGCUUCUUUCUCUCUGAUCUAUAAAAGAACCUGGCAUCCACAUCCUGACAAAAGGGUUAUUUUGAGGCACUAGCCUGCCAUCUUCUCAGUCAGCUGCUUCCCGAAUAAAGUCUCCUGUCUCAACACCUUGUCUCUCGGAUUCAUUGGCCUGUCGUGCUGCAAGCAGAGUGAGCCUGGACUCAGUAACACUGACAUUGUCAAAUGUCCCCUAAUGACUAAAAAACCACUGGUAUAGAGUCUACCCUAGAAACAGUGUGGUCUGCAGACCAGCAGCAUAAGCCUCACCGGGGAGUUUCUUCAAGAUGCCAAAUCCCAGGCCCCUUAUCAGAACUGCUGAGCCAGGAUCUGCAGUUUAUCAAGAUCCCCCAGGGUCUCAGGUGGUCCGUCUCCUAACCUUGAUGAGUCUCUCUGGUCCCUUUAAGCUGGCCUCGGGUGGUUUCAUGGCUGCUCCUCCCUUGAUUAGCAACUGCUCGAAUUUGCUUUUUGGAACUCAGAACAUGAAGACUUUCUGAGCAGAUUGUCAUCAAAAGAUCAGCAGACUUUUUCAAAAAUGUCAAAUCACAUAUAAGUUUCUCACAAGUGAUGAAAUCACUGAUACCGCAAGUUUCCAAUUAACAGGACUAUACAAGGAAUUACUUCCUUUACACUUUGGACUCCAUAGCUUGUGUUCGGAAUCCCAGUGGUCUCCACUGACAUUGAAGUCAGAGCUCGAAAAUACCACCAGGUGGCGCCAAUACCACUUUAAUAGAUUGAGAAAUGGCCAAGCUUGUUUCUAAUAAACAUAAAUCCUUCCAAUUUUUUUUAAAGAAUUUUUAAAAUUUCUUUCUUUCUUUACUGUUCUGGGUCUUUGUUUCUGCGUGGGCUUUUCUCUAGUUGAGGUGAGCAGGGGCUAUUCUCUAGGUGUGGUGGCUUUGGCUUCUCCUUAGGGUGGUUUCUCUUGUUGCAGAGAGGGGGGCUCAGUAGUUGUGGCUCACGGGCUUAGCUGCAUGUGGGAUAUUCCUGUACCAGGGGUGUAACCUGUGUGCCCUGCAUUGGAAGGCGGAUUCAUAACCACUGGACUACCUGGAAAGUCCUGUCCAAAUUUUAAAGUUCCUAAUAGAUGUAUCUGAAAGUUCUGCAAAGUCUAGCUCUAGUUACAGAGGAGAUCAGGUAUUACUUGAGGAAAAAGUAGGUAGAAUGUUAAAUGCAUCUCCUUGACAUGCAUGCUGACC